rnacentral:misc_RNA from 1 species
UGACGCUCGAAAAAGCUAAAAAAGCAAAGGAUUGGUAUGGUUCUCGCAGGAAAAUAAAAAUCUUAAAUGAAGGGACUGUAAGUUUUAAAUGAGGUAAGGUGGCAUGCUAAUGAUGGAAAAAUCAAUCUUAUGUAAGUCAGAUCGAUGGAUUCCAAAGUCCUCUAGUCUUCCUCAGGGUGAAAGUAACUCAUGAUGAUAGUAUUGUUUGGGUCUCUUAGCUUUUGAGCAAAGAUGGCUGAUCUUAG